rnacentral:lncRNA from 1 species
AAUAUUUUAAACAGAUGCUGAUAACAGUCCUAUCGGCUAGACCAGAAUGGUUAGAAUAAAGAAGCAAAGAACACCACCGAUGAAGAGUUUACGUGUUCAACAGCGCCUGGAUCGUCGAUAUGGCGCGCAGACGGAUCUGAUUGGCUUCUUCUAUUUCCUUCACGCCAUCAUCGGCGGAGCCCUCCACUGGCUUCAGCUUCUUCUUCAUCUGCAGUGCUUUACGGCCACGGACAUUUCGCUCUUGUUCAAGAAGUUUGAUCGUCUCAGGCAGCUGGCUUUCCUCUUGUUGAGCUUGGGACAAGGCUUCUUCUACUUGCUUGAGUUCUGCCAACAGGGCUUCUCUUUUUGCCGAUAGGUCAAAAAUCUUGUGCUUCAGCGCAUCUCCUGAGGACUUCAAGAUGCCGAUGUUCUUGUGCUUCUCAUUGGCAAGGAGCUUCACUUUCAUCAUCUCCUCAGAAAGCUGAGCCUGAGCAGCUCUAUCGGCAAGACACUGGGUAGCCUUUUGAUAUUGCAGCUGACGGCUCUCUAGAUGUGCAGCUUGAAAAAGGAUUUCUUCGGCAUCGGCAGGAAUUUGGCCUCUGAGGAUCUUGAACAAGGCCUUGGUUGGGUCAGAGUCAUCAACUAGUUGGGCUGUGUCUUGAUGAAGGAAGGCCGAUAAUUCUUCUAACUUUGCCCUGAUCUCUGCUGAUGUGAUUCCGACUGCUCGGGAAGAACUUGCCUCCUCACCUUCAUCUUCAGAGAUGUCGAUGGCAAAGGAGAACAAGCUGUCAGGAGAGUCCUGUUCCUGAAAAAGAAAAAAAAAGAAUAAGUUAUUCUGUGAUCAAGCAUUGUUAAACGAUACAGGUAGAGGUUGGGUAAGUUACUUGCUUCAGGGCCAUCUCUCGCCUCUGACUGGAUGAUGCCGAUGGAACCACGGG